AACGAACGCUGGCAGCGUGCUUAACACAUGCAAGUCGAGCGAGGCGGAAGGGGCAACUCCUUCCAGUCGAGCGGCGGACGGGUGAGUAACACGUAGGUAAUCUACCUUCGAGUGGGGAAUAACUCAGGGAAACUUGAGCUAAUACCGCAUAAUGCAGCGGCACCACAUGGUGACAGUUGUUAAAGCAUUUAUGCGCUUGAAGAGGAGCCUGCGGCGGAUAGUCUAGUUGGUAAGGUAAUGGCUUACCAAGGCUACGAUCUGUAACCGGCCUGAGAGGGCGGACGGUCACACUGACACUGAAUAACGGGUCAGACUCCUACGGG
rnacentral:rRNA from 1 species